rnacentral:rRNA from 1 species
GUUGCAACCAAAUUCAAGUAUGAAAAUAAAGGAUUAUGCUGUAAAAAAGGACAGAUAAGACUAGCUAAUCCAAAUACACCACCGGAACUUAUGAGGCUUUGGACAAGCAACGACUCUGAUGCAAGACAUUUUCGGCAAAAUAUAAGAUUUUUCAAUGGGCACUUCUCGUCUACUACACUAUAUUGCCAGCUCGACAGAGAUACAAAAGACAUGCGAACGGCCGGUAUUUACACCUUUCGAGCACAUGGUCAAAUAUAUCACAACAUACACUCAAUUGGUAAUAGUCACUCAGAUCCAAAGCAUCUAGAACUAUACUUCUAAGACGAUGAUCCAAGCUUAGAGCAUCGAUACCGCCGUUGCCGUGAGGAAAUGUACAAGCAAGACAAGCAUGUGAUGGCAAUAAUAACAGACAUACUACGCGGUAACCCGUACUCUCAGCAGUUUAGGAGUUUGGGACAAGCCCAAAACCUUGAGGACUACAGACUGAUCUUGAACCUUAACCAGAGAUUGGACCAAAGAACAUACAACGAGCCAAUCAAUUCAGAGGUAGCUGCAGUGUGGAUUGAAGGAAAUGAAAGAAGAGAUACUUAUGACAGAAAUGUAAUAUUACAUGGAAACAACAACGAAAAAGAGCACAUUCGAUCAUAUUACGGGUGCUAUGAUCCGUUAUCAUAUCCUCUAUUCUAUCCAAGAGCUGAAUUGGGUUGGCAUAGGAAAAUCCCGAAGAGGGAAACACGAUAG